GCAAUACGACCGCAAAGCAGUAUGGGAGCACAAUUUACCAAUUUUGCGAAGGAAUGUUAAUUCACCUUCAGUUAUGGGUAAGUUUAGCAUUUAUUUUAUUCUUAUUUCCUCUCAUUUUGAUUACGUUUUGUAUUAUUAUAUCGAAAAGGAGUGUUUGGUGUUAAUGUGUGCCUAAAAUCAUUCACGAAAACUUGAUUGUGUCGAAAGAUAUAGCCGAUUGAACUGAACCCAUAUUUGGCAUGUUUCGACGUGGUGUUUGAGUAGCGUUUUUAUAUUGCCAGAAUAUCCUUACACGAUUAGAAAUCAAUAGCAUUUCCUUUGUAUACUUGUUUUUUAAAGCAUAAACUAUCCAAAAAUCACAUCGCACCCCAUCGCACCUCGUACGGUUUGUCUGCAAUUUUUGAAUUUAUAAUGCCCAUUUUAACAGGUAAAUGAUACAUUGACACCGUAAACAAAAUGGCUACCAAGAGGCGAGAGAUGCUUCGAGCUGUCAACUGGCGACAGUUCAGCGAAGCCAAAGUUGGCUUUACGUGAAGGUAGUUCGAGGAAGAGCCUUUUCCAAACAAUUUCUCAAAGUUCUGUAUCCAGCAGGAAUGAAAAUCCAGUGUCAUGGUCCAUGGACUAUUAUACUAUUUAUAAAUAAAUACAGUAUAUAUGUCUGUAUUGGAAAGAUCCCUGGAACGACAAAUGGCCAACAACCAAAGAUAAAGAGGAUAUGCCCAAGCAGUAAAAAAUGCAUGUAAAUCCCAACGAUCAGGUAUGGUAUUCGAAUCAUAUUAUUAUUAUUGAUUUAAAUUAAAUCAACUAACCGAGCAUUGAGUGCCAGUGCCCCUCCUUGACAAGUAAAAUCAGAGUAAAAUAAUAAAGAAGGGCACAUUAGGAUGGAAUGUAACUUAACAGAUUAAAUUCAUAAUAUAAUUUCAGGCUGAACACAUUUGCAGGCUGAAACAUUUAUAAACAACAAAUGGAAAUUGAGUUGACUGCAUCUUUAAACAACAAGCUCCCAACAAUGUUGUGAUUAAAUUCGACUGAUAAAUUAAAUGCCAUUUAUAUAUUCUUAUAUUUCAUUAAUUAAAGCAAAAUAUUUUAAUUGUUCUAGGAGGUUCAUGUAGAACCCGAGUCCUAAAAACCUUGGCGAAGAAUGUGGUACAUUGAGUGAUGCAGAAAAAGAUUUUGAAAUUGACUAUGUACAUGAUUCUGUUGGCUCAGCUAUUCCUGUGCCAUCAAGUCCUGCUGCUGUGUUCAAUUUUAGUGAUAAUCUCUCACCAAUUUUCAAAGAGUCACCAUGUAAGGGCUCAGCAGGAAAUAACCCAGGUACUCUUGGUGAUAUUGUCCAAAAUCUCAUCACAGCCUUCAAAAGUGUAGCAUGUCCCAAAGAUUAAAGGAACAAUUAUUGAACUAUUUAUAAAAGCUUUUUUUAUUGAGCUUGGAGGCAUGCAUGGCUUUAUACCAAUUUGUGCAGGCAGAUUUUCUGGACAAAAGUUUAAAUGCCAUGAAAACAUUGCAAGAGGGCAAGAACUUGCUUUAUGGUAUGUCAUGGUGCUUUGAGAGAUGAGAAGAUGGCACACCUGAGUGGCUUUGCCACCAGUGCCAAAACAUAUGUGAGCACAUUGGUCAAAUUUAGAAAAAUUUCUCCCACUCAUGCGGGCUCGUAUUGCCAGCGGACAUUCUCCUCCGCAGAGGCUUUGUAGUUUGUUUUCUUUCUAUAUAAGUUUGACUUGCGAGCAGUAGCGGCUCCAAAUGUCCAUGAUGCCCCCUUUUAACCCCACGCUUGCUCCCCUGUGUGCCGCCACUUCUCUACCUAGCCCACUACUGCCCGCAAGUCAAACUUAUAGAAAGAAAGAAAACAAACUCAUUCUCAUAGAAAGAAAACAAACUACAAAGCCUCUGCGGAGGAGAGUGGUCAGCGGACAUCUUACAGAAAGUGGGCAGUUCUGUGCACAGUACACACAGUACAUAACCUUAUGCACAUAUUUGUAAAUAACAAAUAAUAAUGAAUAUAGUCAUUCAUAUUUAUAAACACGUUAAAAACAGACAAGUUAAUUUACUUUACAAAUGUUGAUUUUUUAAUAAGAUGGGUUGCAUCAAACCAGUUCUACUCAGUAUAUUUUAUGCAUUUACAUAUAGCAGACUUGCUAGCUUUGACCACAUUAGGAUGCCAUGAACCUUUUUUGGAUAUGUUAAUUGUGUGAUAAAAUCCAAUUCGCAUAAAAGUUGUAUGUAGUUUGAUGUAUUUUAUAGACACAUCAAAGCUAGGGCCGUUCAUAUGGGGGCUAAUAUACUGUGUCAGUUCACUUGCAAUCAGGGACGCCGGAACGAUAAAAAGGCAAGGGGGGGGGCAAACGCACACCAAAGGGCACCUCUGUAAACCUCGGUGAAGAUAUAAACCUACAAUUAUGUGUUGACUUGCCAAUGAAAGCAAAUGCACUUAAUC